ensembl:lncRNA
UUUUUAGGGUCACACCAGUGGCAUAUGGAAGUUCCCAGGCUGGGGUGAAUCAGAGCUACAGCUGCCAGCCUACACCACAGCCACAGCAACGCCAAAUCCAAGCCACAUCUGCAACCCACACCACAGCUCACAGCAAUGCCGGAUCCUUAACCCAAUAAGCGAGGCCAGGGAUCGAACCCACAUCCUCAUGGAUACUAGACGGGUUUGUUACUGGUGAGCCACAACAGGAACUCCCAAGUACCCCUUUAAACUUUGGACAUUCUUCCUCAGGUUCCAUGAUUACAGAGUGACAGGCGAGAGAUGCAUAGCAAUGAAUGGAAAUCUUCAUUGUUUGGGAAUAAAAUCAAAAUACAUUCUUGUUCAGUCAUCCCCCUGGGUAAGUCUUGUCGGAUUAUUAACAGGCUAAUGUAUUUCCCACGCAGCUGUGGUCUGCUGAAGCUAAGCGUGAUCUUCUGAACAGUGUUCAACCUACGGUUCUUGCAAAACCACCUCACUGUAUCCUCCAUGGUACCUUACUCUGCCUCGUUCCAUGAGCAGGACGGUGGUCAAUGAAAAUAAGGAGAAAUGAUUUCUGGAGCCAUAACAGCACCACUCCCUUCCCCAGGCAACAGUGAUUCUGCAUUCAGCCUUACAUGUUAAUAUCCACUGCCGAUCAGACCAUCUACUCUGGGCUCAGCAGACUCAGGAAAGGAGGCAGGGCUCUCUUCCAGCACCAAUCUAUCUCUUUCAGCCUCGCUACCGUCAUGGCCAGGGCGCGAAACCAUUCCAGCAGAUCCCAAGGGGAACUGUCUCUCCAUUACCCAAAGGGGGCUGAUGCUGGGAGGGCUUCCGGCCUGGGCUUCACCCCUCCCAUGGGGCUUGGGAGCACUUGCUUAGGCUGGAAAAUAUUGACGUCGACGGAAAAGCAAAGCAGGUUGAGCGAAUGCGAUCAAGCAGGUUUUCUGAACUCCCCUUUGCCAAAGUAACCCGUUCUGUUGACGAUUUACAUGUGAACUGGUCAUGAAAAUAACAGUUCUCCUUGGAAAUCUGCUGUCAGACAGACUAGGGUCUCGCCAUCCUCUCCUGGCCGUUUCCCUAAUAUUUACAUUUCCUCAUGUUACUCUGCUUUGAUCUUAUUUUUCCUUCCAAGCUCUCAAGCUGAAAUUUCAACGGAACUCCACCCCCGAAAGCUGCUCCUAUCCUACGGGUGCUAAUUUUUAAGAACGGAAAAUGAAAAUUGGCUAUUGCACUGAGCGGGGGCAGAAAAUGAUGGCUUUCCCUGUAUGCCCUUGAAGGCAAACCUUCUGUCCAGGCUGCAAAGUGCCAAAGACAGCGUUUGAUGCUUAAGAGGAGGAGGAAGAAUGACCGUAAAGGGGACUCAAGAUGUGGCCUUUCCAUGGGGGCUUUCCAAUCAAGGCCUCACAAAUGGGUGUCCUCUGGACAAGGUAUUUUUAGAUUAGCCUCUACAAAGGAAAGAUUUUAGGCCCCCAUUCAGGUGACCUGGUAAUUACAUGUGUGGAGACCCUCUGUCUGUCUUGCGUUCUGUAAACCCUCUGGGGGUUUUCCUGCCAUGGUCAACCCUCUCUCCCACUGCUUUGACAGCGGUGACAGUGAAUAUGGAACCCCACAUACUUGGUAACAAUCGAGGGGUGGUUAAAGCCCAGCAUCUGCAGAGAGAGAGAAGCUGAGGUUGAAUGGGACUGACGCUGCCAUCUUGCUGUCUGAUCUUCAGAAAAGUACUUAUCGCAGAGGGUUGUUGUGAGAGUUAAAUGAGUUAAUGCAUAAAGUGCAAGCACUGAUUUGCAGCAAGUGCCCAAGUAGCUUUUUACUACUGCUGAUGUUUCAGACCACAUCAGGCACUCAGGAAGUAUGGGUGGGACUCAAAUGGGCUUGUGGGCCUGGCCACCCUCUGCAGUUUGCUGUGCAGAAUGCGAAUACGUAGUAAACCUGUGUAUCUGCUGCUCUUGCUUGCUUGGGUACUUUCAUCUCAAUCGGCCUAUUCAAGGUGCCAGUGGGUUCACACAUUCGUUUUUCUCAAAUUUGGUAAAUGCCCCCCAUUCCCCAAUGUCUUAUACACACAUUCACCAAAGUCAUCCCCGGGUCUAUGUAAUGGCCACCCCGUUUUCUUUUCUCUUGCGCCCAGACUGCUGGGCACUGCUGCAAAAAGUCAAGCGAUAGAUUCAUUCAUUCAACAGAUAUUUACUGAGCAAGUAUCUAGUCUGUGUGGAAGGCACUUUGUUGGGAACAGAUGGGACAGACAUGGCAGUGCUCAUGCCUACCCACUUACAGACUGGUGGGGGGACAGCAAAUGAAUAAGUCAACACAUGAACCCACCGUUCCACCAAGUGCUGGGAGGAAGUGACCACGGGAAAGCAGGGAAAAGGGAGACGAAGGCUUCAGGCUUCAACAUGGUGGCCUGACAAGAGGGAACCGCGUACACAAAAGCCCUGGGGAGGGAGCGUUGCCCGGCACGUCUGAGGGCCUGAGAAGGCCUGUGAGGCUGAAGGGAGGAGUGUGAGUGGAAAGUGUUGUGGGGCAGAGUUAGAGAAACGAGCAGGGCUCAGCUCCACCAAGCCUGGUAGGGGCUGGGAGAGUUAGUGUUAUCCUCAGAGAAAUGGGAGGCUAUUGAAUCUCAGGCAAAGGAUGGAUGAGAAAGGACUAAGAAAGAUUUACCAAGAAAAGGGGACUCUCCCACAGCACCCCCUGAACCUGGGCCAUUCUGGCGCCCAGAUCUUAAUACGCUUCUGGUGGUUCUGCCCCCUAGGGGUCCUCAAUGCUCUUCUUGCUCUGUCCCCGCCCUCAGGGACACUCGGUGCUCACUGGCCCCAUCUACUUGACUGACAGAGGGAGCUCACCUUUCUCUCUCUCUGAUAAAACGCAGGCACCACGUUUACCGCUUAUAAGCGUAGGAUUCAGCGGCGUGAAGUACAUUCCCAGGGCUUUGCAACCAUCACCACCAUCCAUUUCCAGAGUUUUCUCAUCACUUCAAACUGAAAAUGUGUCCACCAAACAAUACCUUUCCAUCUUUUGUUUUUGUUUUCUCUUUUUUGGCCGCCCCGAGGCAUAUGGAGUUCCUGGGCCAGGGAUCAGAUCUGAGCUGCGGUUUUGACUUAGGCACCUGCCGCAGUGGUGGAUCCUGUGCCAGGCCAGGAUUGCGCCUGCGUCCUGGUGCUGCAGCGACCCAGCCGAUCCCAUUGUGCCACAGCAGGAACUCCACUUUUUCGCUUUUAACUUUCUUCUGUCCCUUCACCGGCAGCCUCCAUCCUGCCUCUGAUGAAAAAUGGGCCCCGCCGUUCCACAGCCAUGCUCUAGGCUGUUCUUCGUUCCUCCACUCCAACCCUCUCUGAGCCACUUCCAGGACACAGCCUGCUCACAUAUUCAAUCUUUGCACUCUCUCCUUAUACCUCCCUGACAAACAGACCUCUGACUUUCUGACAUUAAUAUGAAUGAAUGAAUGAGUAUUUUUAAAGUCCCCCCUUAUGCUACUCCGUUGGUAUAAACACAAAGUGCUUCCUUCCUUUGACACCUGAGUUUUGAGUCAUUCUGUACUUUGCCUGUACUGCUAACACCAAUAGUAGCCCCAGUCCCAGGGAUCCUUAGCCCUGACCUUGCUGCAGCAGGUGACACUGUUUGCUGCCACUUCCUCCUUGACCAUCUUUGGUUUCCUGGCUCCCAUCAUGCUGCGCUGCCGUGGUCCCUCGAAUGGGGACCGCCUCCUUUCCUGUUUCCCUCCCUCUUUCCUCUCCCCUCCCCUGGCCCUAACCAUAGCAGCUCCCAGGGUUCUGCUUGCAACCCCGGGCUUCUACCACCAGGCCCAGCUCUCCAGCUGCCAGCUGGACCUUUUCAUGGGGACAGCCUGCCAGCAUCUCAAAUGCAAUAGGUCCAAAACCAAACUGGUAAUUUUCCCUGGCCAAGCCCAGCUCCACUGCCCAUUCAAGUGUCCCAAAGGCCAUAAUUGCUGCCCUAGUCCAGGCUCAUUAAAGCUUCCCUUUAUUUACUAUGGCAAGAAUCUCCUUUCUGUCUCUGACUCGAUUCUUGCCCUGCAUGAAUCCACCUUUUCUGCUGCUUUCAGAUCCAUCUUUCUAAAACCUGGGCUUGAUGACAGUACUCACCUGUUCAACCACAUCAUGGAGACGCACUGAGAUAACUUUAACCUGACAUACAGCUCUUCCUAGCCUGCCUUUCAGCCUUAUCUCAGACAAUAGGCUAGACCCCAGGAGUUCAAGCAUUCCUGAGCAUCUGGGCUCCCAUCCCUUCCCUGGCUUCCCCAUCUGACUUCUAUUAUCCCUUUCCUUCUUCAAGGUCCUUCCAGCUGAUGCAAUUCCUUCUUCCUUCCAAAGUGGUCCCUCCUUUAUUGUACAUUGCUACAACUUUCCUGUCCACACGAGUCCUGUUCUUGGCUGCUUUGUCGUCCCUUUCACCUCUUCUACAAACUGCUUUGCCUUGUCUGUAAAAUUCUGACCAAAAGCCUCAGGGAUUUCUCCUGUGUCUUCUCUGACCACUAGCUCUGAGGGUGUGGCUUCUUCAGGGGUUACCUGAUGCCAUAAAAAGAACAAUGGACCAGAGCUAAAGCACUUGAGUUCCUCUGGCUGUUUUAUCUGGAAAAAAAUAAAUCAUUGGACCACACUGGGACUUCAUGUCUUCAUCCAUGAGACUAGUGAUUAGGUAGGUCUCUUAAAUCUUUUCCACUAAAUAGCCAGCUUUUAAUUCCUCUCUCUCCCCACACCUGAGACCAUCCCUGCUGUUUAUAGAACAAGUUAACUGUUUACAUCUAUCAUGUUGUUUAUCGCUCAAGCAAAAAAAAAAAGUACUUGUGGGUCAUGACAGCCUUUUUCAAAAGGCAAAGUUUAUUUUUUUCCCACUUUUUUAUUAUUGGCCCCAACUCUGGUCUCAAACAUAUGAUCAAAUAUGUGCUCUAAAAUAAGGUAUGAGCACCAAGAGAGAUUUGUACAUGCAGACCAAGUGACUCUAGGCUGUUGGCACAACUCUAGCCCGCUUAUCACACAAAUCAUUAGCAUCCAGGGUUGGGAGGCCACGUAUCAGGACUUCCUGUUGCCUUUGACUUGAGCACGUGACUAGGCCCAUGGGAGCAUUUGUGCAUAUCUGCGCAUGUCCUGUGAUGUUCAGAGAUGCUUCCUCCUGUGAGGUCCACUCUCACCCCCUCUGGCUGAGGUCCCUCCUCCCUUUUCAGGGGUGGCCCCGACCUCCUCCCAGAUGUCCCCUCACUCCGGAUGAGUCAGCUUCAGCUUUUCCCGGGCAUCUCCACCUCGGCCAGGGAGGCCUGUCCCUCUGACCCAGGAUCAUCCCCACUUUCAGGCACUCAGUCCUUCCAAGGCCCUUGCCACUCCCAGGAAGUUCGACCUCGUGCCCAGUGGUCUCCCUGGCCAAAUCCACAAACGAGUCCGGGUCACAAACCCAAUCGGUCUUCCUCAGAGCGAAGUGUCUGUGCCCUCAGAACUCCAACUGUGCGGGGAGGAGAGAUGAAGAAGGGACCGGAGAGGGGGUGGGUCCCCAGCCAGCCUGGGAGGGUGUUCAGAGGAACACCUGCGGAUCAUUCUCGUGCCUGUCCGCCCAGCAGAUCAAACAUUGCCGAUAUUUAUUCCCUGAGUUCCAAACCUAAAGGCUUCGAACCCUCCUCCCCCAGUAAAAAAACAUUCCCAUCAUAUGCUCUUAUCCAUACUGUCCUUGAGAAGGUGAAGAGCUUUUUCUAGGCUUCAUCAUUUGUUUCGGUAUUUUAAAAUACAGAAUCUG